rnacentral:rRNA from 1 species
GGGGGACUACGAGAUAACUCCCAACCCAAUGUGAACGUUACCAAACUGUUGCCUCGGCGGGGUCACGCCCCGGGUGCGUCGCAGCCCCGGAACCAGGCGCCCGCCGGAGGAACCAACCAAACUCUUUCUGUAGUCCCCUCGCGGACGUAUUUCUUACAGCUCUGAGCAAAAAUUCAAAAUGAAUCAAAACUUUCAACAACGGAUCUCUUGGUUCUGGCAUCGAUGAAGAACGCAGCGAAAUGCGAUAAGUAAUGUGAAUUGCAGAAUUCAGUGAAUCAUCGAAUCUUUGAACGCACAUUGCGCCCGCCAGUAUUCUGGCGGGCAUGCCUGUCCGAGCGUCAUUUCAACCCUCGAACCCCUCCGGGGGAUCGGCGUUGGGGAUCGGGACCCCUCACACGGGUGCCGGCCCCGAAAUACAGUGGCGGUCUCGCCGCAGCCUCUCCUGCGCAGUAGUUUGCACAACUCGCACCGGGAGCGCGGCGCGUCCACGUCCGUAAAACACCCAACUUUCUGAAAUGUUGACCUCGGAUCAGGUAGGAAUACCCGCUGAACUUAAGCAUAUCAAAA